rnacentral:lncRNA from 1 species
AUGAAGUAUAUUCUUAGGGGAGACUUGGAGAGCAAAGCACAGGAAGUGCUGAGGAAGGAAGAAGGACACCGUGGAUCGUGGUGGAAGGCCCACGUGGACGCAAAGCAGCAAACACAGACCCAAGACACGACCCCAGGAGCCGAGAGCGGGAGACUGCACCAGCUUUGGAGACCAUCGGACACAUUGCUGGGGAAAGCAGACAUGAGCCUCCUUCAGCACCGGACACAGCCUAGGAUCCUGCUGGGCUCAGGACCUCCCCUCCCAUCUCGAGUCCCACGAGGAAUGUUUGUUCCCGUUCUCUGCUGGGGCAGAUGCUAUGGUGGGGCCUCCUCCUUGACGAAGCUGUGGGACUCAGAGCCAGGCUCUGUGUGGCCCGACGAUCCUGCUGACCCCGGCCUCCUGCAGACCAUGGCCGCCAUACCCCUGGCCGCGUCUCCAGCUUUUCAAGUGGGAAGAAACCACCCCGCUACCCAGGACCUGACUUCUGUGGGCCAUCCUCAGUAAGCCCCUAAAAUGUGCACGUUCCACGUGAGGAAGCUGAGGAACAUUCAUGUUGAGUCACCCUCACUGCUAGGAGGAGAUGGAGUCGCGACUGCAGCUCGGGCUUUCCUGCUUUGUAAUCCCGACGCCUCCACCACUGCUGAAUGGAAGUAGUUACUUCUGGAUUGG